rnacentral:lncRNA from 7 species
GUUUGGUACCUUUGCUCCCCCCCAGCUCACCUGUGUCCUAUCAAAUUCUUGCUGUGCUCCAGGAACGCUCAAGCACUUAUAAGGAGCCUAUAUCCACUAGAACUCAUUAUUUCGAGUUUUUGGGCUUCAUGCUGUGCAGCCAAGCUGUUGCAGACCUGCAUCUCUUCUUUGCUGUGUGAUGCCUUAAGCCUUAUGAAUUCUGCCUGAAGCAGCACUGGGAACAGAUUAUCUUUCAGCAUAAUUCCAUGAGCUUCCAUGGUCAGGAUGGAAAGCUUUCAGCUGUGGGCCUAUCUUUCUCAGCUAAGAGGUAAUGCAGCCUUAACAGGUGGAAAGGCUUAGUCUGAUCCAUAAGGAUUGAACAGCUGAGCUUCUAGAAGCAGUAUGCAGGUGUGCACAGCCAUCGUGGUUAGUAAGCCCAAAUCUUUGGAGGGGUCCUGAACUUCACUGGAAGCCUGAACAGGAGUGCCUUGCUGAGAUGACACCACCCAGAUGGCAGAAACAGGCAGGUACUCAUGGGAAAUGACACAGUGUGCAUGAUGGGAAUCGUGGAUCGCAGCCGAGGACCAGGAGAGGACGACGUCGCUCCUCGCCGCGUGCGCCCUGCUUGCACCACACCUGCACUUCCCCUCUGUGUGAUAGCGCUGUCCCCCAAAAGCGGCUGCAAAGCUUCCUUGGGCGGCCUGUUCCAGCACGUCACCGCUCUUUUGGAGAAGAAAUGUUUCCUAAUAUCCAUCCUGAACAUCCCCUGGCAUGGCUUGAGGCCGUUCCCUCUCAUCUUCUCGCAGCUGCCCAGGAGAAGAGGCCGACCCCCACCUCGCUACAACCUCCCAGCUGUUGUGUCCACAGUGAGUCCACGGCAGCAGCUCGGGGUGGUGGAAGGCGGCUAUUUGUUUUGGAAGACACACAGUGGUACACAUAUAAAUGCAGGAAAAAGAAGAAUUUAUACAGAGUGGUACCACCAGAAGUACAACAUAUCGGUGAAGAAGGCAUCUUUGCCCAGCUUGACGACCUGGUGUUGCUUUGCUCUUUGGGAGAUGUAGGAUGUCCCUGAACAGCCGCACAGGGCUUGUCCCAGCACCCCACAAGCAAUCCUGCUCAUCUCAACACUCGCCAAGGUCAAACUCAGAUGCACUGGCAGCUCCCUUAAUCCAAGGUAGGACAUGGACAGCAUGAAUGAAGAGAGGAGGAGGCUGACAGCAAGAGAUUUGCCACCUCAGGCAGGUGAUGUUUCCCACUGAGACCUCCAGUGCUUCCUGGGAGAGGAGAAAAGUGGCACAGACCUGUUCAAGGAGAUCUCUAACGGGAGGAAUUCUGCAGCUUCCUCACAAUCUGCAGCCUUAUUGUUGGCAAGGUACUCAGGUCUCAGCUGGCUCCAUACUUCCUACAUAGUGACUGUCUUGUGUGAAAAGGGAAGGCGCUGGAAGCCC